CCUGCCUCUAGAGGCAUUUCAAGUAUGGCUACCAUGUCACAUGUGCAUCAGUAGGUGGCAGAGAGGAGGGAGAGACUAUGUCUACACUCAGUGUUCCGACCUGUGAAUAAGCCUGAGAUGACCACCAGUUUGGUGCC
rnacentral:snoRNA from 1 species